CUUCUCCUUUAACCCUCUGGACAGCCCAGCGAGCCGCUGCUUUCAUUAGCGCUUUAUCGAUGGAGAAGAUUAGCUGGCUUGAGGUCACACAGGAGGUAGUGGAGCCAGAAUUUGAGCCCAAGCAAGACCUGCACUCUCAGCGGAGUGCCUCUGCCAGCUUCUUGCUCUUUCACAGCUGAGAAAACAGAGGCUCUAAGCAGCCUGUCUUGGGUGACCCUUGAAACUGCAGAGUGAAGUGUCAGGACUAGAAUCCAGCAUAAGGGGCCAUCUCAUCAGUGGCUUUUGUACCCCCUGUACCACGAUGCCUCCCCUGUGAUCUUUCACCCUAGCACCAGAAAGCAGAGCAUGCCCAGGGUGUGGGGGGAAAGAUCAGAUCCCAAGGGCAGGGAGGGUUAGAGGCAGGAUGCCUGGUCCAGGACAUGGAGCGAAAGCCCCGGGACCCUGUGGCUGUGAGGCCAGAGCCAGUGUGAGCGGGAGCCACCGGAAGGCAGGAGAGCCAGGCGGGGCUGGAGGGACCAGCCAGGAUGGGCCUGCGGUGCGUGCGGCUGGGAGGAAGCCGAGGGCAGCGCUGGGUGGUCUGACCCUCGUUCCCCAGGCGCCCCUUCAGCCAGGGUUACGUGCCGGCAGCCCUCACACCAGCCCUGCCCCCGGAUGGCCUUCUCUGCUGCCCUGUGGACUCCCAGGCUGUUGUCUGUCAACACAGGGGGUGAAGUCUGGUCUCUUAAUAAGGAACCAAGCCCGGGCAAGACAGACCUGGGCCUGAUGCCGCCUCUUGGCAUCUGUAUAACUUUGCAAAGUUAGGUUAUGUCACGUCACCAUUGCACUCAUGCAAAUGAUAAGGUCACUGGUGCCAAGUGUGAAUGAGUUAACUGUGUCGGCAUCCAGCCUUCGGGCAGCACUGGGAGGAAUGCAUGUUCUCACCCCCUCAUGCAGAUGGAGGUAAAGUAGCCCCGGAAAUAGUGACACUUGCCGAGAUCACAUCCCUGAGGUUCCUGGCACAGCGUCCGAUAGAGAGGCACAGCCCUGGUCACCGCAGACCGUGCCCAGCAAGGAGACCGUGACCCCCAGUGUGGCCGUGGCCGUGCAGCCUUACGUCUGAGCUGCAUUGGUUGCUCCGAGUUUCACAUAUUUUGCGGAGACGGUGGCUUAUUUUAUAACCUGUAUCUACAGGGCCAAUUUAGCAAAUUAAUUUUUCUUGUAGUAAGUAUUUAAGAUUCAUUAGCCCUCGUCACUGAUGAUUUUCUCCUUGUUCUUUGGUUCCAUCUUUCAAGGCUGGAGAAAAAAGCCUGUUUGAUUUCAAAUCCAUCACCCCGCCCCACCCCUUUCUAGAUUUCAAAGUGAACUGUCCAUCUUGCCCUUGGAUGCAGUCCAGGCCUGCAUCAAUCUCCUCCCAGUGGUAAUAGUUUUAAGUCUUAGCAGGAAGUCUCUGGGAACCAAUUAAGUGGACUAAUACUUUGGAAGAGGGAGAAAAAGAGUGUUCUGAGGGAGGGACUUAAUUUACCAUGCAUCGCAAAAUUUUCCAAGUAAAUUAUUUUCAAGUCAACGUGGCCCUUCUCUUAGCCGUGACAGGAACACAUUUGGGUUUGAUUUAAAAAAUUCUAAUCUAUCACUGUCACCAUUCCUGCCGCAAUUUAAGGCUUCAGUGGUUUGCGGUAGAUAACAGUUGUUGCCUUUCCUGCAGGCUAAGAAGGCAGUGACUGUUUGCUAUAUUAACUAUCACAAAACAGACAAAAGGGGAAGGCAGGCGGGUGUAGACAGAAGAAGGCGUGUCAGGCCACAGUCCCUGGGGUGUUUGCUGCCCCCCGCCCCCCGCCAGCUGCUGCUCCACCUUGGUCCUUCCAUCCUGCACCUCUUUUUGGACCCUCACGGAAGUCACGCUUGCGGGUGAUGGUGAGGCGUCCUGGACAGUAGCCCGGGCCUCGGGGGCUCUUGAUGGACCGGGAGAAACUCAUAAGGGAACUACUUCUGGUAGAUGUACCUGCGGUGGGUGCUUCAGUCACAUGCCAGCCACCCAGGGACCUAGACGGAAAUUAGCCUUGAAAGACGGCUUCUGCUGGCCCUGGAGGGAGGCGUGCUCCAGGGCCGGCAGAAGCUGUUUCUGUGCCUGGUGGUUCUCCGCAUAUUGGCUGUAAUAGUCGUAGGGCUGGCCCCGUCUGGGGGCCCCUGUAAACCCAUCCACCGGGGCCCUGUGACGUGUGGGUACACUGUGAACAGCCAAACCUCUGCGAUGUCCGAGAUCAGACUCCUGCUGGAGCCAGGGGCUCACCACUUACUAGCUGAAGCCUCACACACUCCCUCUAAGCCUCAGUUUUUCAGUCUCUGAAAUGGGAAGCUGGAUAGUACCUUCCUUGUGAGGCGUGUCCAUUUCCUGGUGCAGCACAAGCCUCCAACUGGGGCCCAUUCUUAAAGCCCCCCAGUUAUGAUCCUUGUUUCCUUCUACCAUAACUUUUGCAGUAAUGAAAAAGGACAGAGCAGGAGUUCCUGUUGUGGCUCAGCAGGUUAAGAACCCGACUAGUAGCCAUGAGGAUGUGGUUUUGAUCCCCGCCUUGCUCAGUGGGUUAAGGAUCUG
rnacentral:lncRNA from 1 species